rnacentral:lncRNA from 1 species
GGGAGAGAAAUGAAUGAGAAACUAAAUUGAUUACUCCUGAGAUGGCUGGUGCCAAUGGCUUGCUCUGGGUAUAAAGAAGAGAUUUCACCACAAGCUUCUCCCCAGAGGUGGAAGGGGCAGAUCAGGUUGCUUUUCACUCCUGCCCCGCCCUGAGGAAUGGACUCAGUGACACUGCAGGCCUUUCUCUCCCCUGAUAUCUUUGAGUCAAGGCGCCGUGUUGACCAAGUGUGUCAGAUAAAGGACUACAAAAGUAUUGUCCAAAUUGCCCAGGGAGGAUGUGGCCAACAUUCCUAGGUGUGUUUGCAAAAAUGGCUGAGAGACUAGGUGCAAAGUGAGGGAUGCUGGCAAAGCACGCCUGUAUUUGGAGACCAGUGGUUCUCUCCGGCCACAGGUACUUCUGAUGAAUCUCUUCCAACAGAGUAAUACACACACCUUCAAACUUAACUGCAGAGGAAGAAUCCUACGCUCAAAACCGCACAGAAUGAGUCCUAUCCAGAGAUUCAAAAACAAAAACCUAUCAGGAAACUUUGGAAGCCCUCGUCUGUUUCAGUUUGUAGGAGUGACUGCCUUUCAGGGGAAAGAAUCUGAUGGGAAGGAUGAGGUAGGUGCCCGGGACAUCUGCACACUUAUAAAAUACUCCAGGAUGUCCAAAAUAGUGCACAACGAGGAUAACGUAUUUUGUCGUUCUGCUAGGCAGCAGAGCUGAUCCUACGCAAACCUAUUGUUUCAUAAUCUGGGACCCUUGACCACUAGCGGAAGAGGGGGAAUUGGUCAGUCUUUCUGCCCUGAGCCCAGGAUCCAGGUGCCUGAGGAAAGCUCUUUGGCACCCAGGUGCCCUGCAGCCUGAGCGUUUCUGUGUAAACCCACUCUGUGGGCCAAGUCUGGCAUAUGACUGGGAGCCUGCUCAGCUCCCAUUUGGCACUCCACUUCCCUGCUGGUCCUGGAACCCUGCCCCAAACCACAGCUGCCUGGCUUGGGGCCUGACAAUCUGCCCACUCCUUGCCAGAACUCUCUCACUCUCUCUGGAGGGCUGGGACUUGUCAUCGUACCCUCUCCCCGAGGGGUCCUGCUUCCACCCUGAGGGCCCAAAUGGGCCCCAGCCUCAUGAAGCCACCUGCCUGUUGUGAUUGUUCCUCCACCCAGAAACCCGAACAAUGCUAUGCCUCCACCUCUCUGAUUAAACGCCCCGGAAGGUUAUAGACCCAAGUUCACCAAACCCCUGGGUAGCCAUGAUGUAGAUUCCAGGACAUGCUUCUCAGAAGCCAGCUCAGAUCAAUCCUGGAUCCCCCGCUCUCCCCACUGACCCACCACAAAAAGAUUAUGAAAGCAGAUGGAGGUCUCACCUAUUCUAGAGGGUAGCCCAUGUGGAGGGUGUUUCCAAGCCCCUAACAUCAGGGGGGUGUUUAUAGGACAGUGACUAUGGAGGGGGCCAUUCAUCGACCCCACAAGCGGAAUCAGGAGGGAUUCAAAAGGGUCCAAGUUCACUAGAUUGCAUUGGAGCAAACAAGGUUUCCUGGCAUCACCUGGCCAUCUGUUGCUUCCCUUCACCUGCUGUAGAGAGACUGGGAACAGAUGCCCCAUGACCACCCCCUUGGAGAGAAAGCCCGGGUUCCCUCCAGUCCCUCCCUUUAAGGUGAGGAGUCCCUGAGAAAGAGCCAAAAUAUUUUCUGACCCUAAGGGGCUUGCUGUAAGAAGAUAUCACUUUGGCGUCAGUUCUUAAAUAAAUCCAAAGUUGGGGGUGGGGGAACUGCA